UACAGAGGGGGCAAGCGUUGUUCGGAAUUACUGGGCGUAAAGGGCGCGUAGGCGGCCUUCUAAGUCGAACGUGAAAUCCCCGGGCUCAACCCAGGAACUGCGUCCGAUACUGGAAGGCUUGAAUCCGGGAGAGGGAUGCGGAAUUCCAGGUGUAGCGGUGAAAUGCGUAGAUAUCUGGAGGAACACCGGUGGCGAAGGCGGUGGUCUGGGCCGGAACUGACGCUGAGGAGCGAAAGCGUGGGGAGCGAACAGG
rnacentral:rRNA from 1 species